CCCUUAGAUGUCCUGGGCCGCACGCGCGCUACACUGAUGCAUGCAACGAGUUUAUAACCUUGGCCUGAAAGGUCUGGGUAAUCUUUUGAACGUGCAUCGUGAUAGGGAUAGAUUAUUGCAAUUGUUAAUCUUGAACGAGGAAUUCCUAGUAAACGCGAGUCAUCAGCUCGCAUUGAUUACGUCCCUGCCCUUUGUACACACCGCCCGUCGCACCUACCGAUUGAAUGGUUCGGUGAAGAUCUCGGACUUCGAUAUUUAUUCUUUACUGAGUUUAUAUUGUGGGAAGUUAUCUAAACCUCAUCAUUUAGAGGAAGGUGAAGGCGUAACA
rnacentral:rRNA from 1 species